GCCAUCUUCCUCUUCUCCUUCUAAUGAACCCAAUCAACUUCAAAUUCAAGUCUCAAAUGAUGAUACUUUUAACUUAGAAGAUACAAAUAAGCCUUGGGGUGAUGUUAAUAGUGAGAGAGUAAUGAAUUCGUUGAAGCUCCUUCUAAGGAUUCUGAGGACGAUGUAGGUGUUGACGAGGAGGCUCUAACUAAUGACAUGAGCUUAGGCAACCUUUCAAUAAUCAUUGCUCCUACACCUUAUGCACUAGUUCCCCCUCUAGAUGAACACGUGGAGGACAACUCUUGGAGGUCUUGGGCUUGUGAUACAACCUACACCGAUGAAGGGGAGUUUCAAAAGGGUAUAAUGUUUGAUAACAAGGAUGUGUUGUUGAAUGCUGUUAGAUUGUAUCAUAUUCGUAGGAACGUUGAGUACCGAACUGAGACUUCAAAUCAAACCUUGUUCACCUUGAAGUGUAAGAGAGGGUGUGCUUGGAGGCUUAGGGCUAGGUUGAGCUCCUAUUCACCUUCGUGGACUAGGAAGAUCUAAGUCAAGGAGGAUCACCAACGAGAUGGACGAAGGAUUGAGGAGACACAACGCUUGUCGACGGUGUGGUAGUGAAGGUCACAACACUAGAACUUGCACGUCAAGAGAUGGAUCCAGCAGCUCCAGGCCCUCGAGACCCUAGUUUUCUGACGAUGCAGGCGGAUCACAGGAGCAGUGUACUAUAGGAUGUCCAGGUGUCCGACGUAGAGACCAUAUACACCAGGUAUCCCGACUCUGCUCCGUGGGAGAUUGACGCACGGAUCAUCCCCUACCUUCAACGAGCGAGGUUGUACGACUUCCACCUCAUCGCUUAUGGGAGAUUUGAUUGGGCGCUACUCACAGCUUUAGUCGAGCGGUGGCGCCAAGAGACACAUACCUUCCACCUACCUCUUGGUGAGGCUACUGUCACUUUACUUGACGUAGCUAUGCUUACACGGCUUCCCAUCGAAGGACAUGUCGUCUGCACCGUUGGACACCAACUCGAAGGUUGGCAAGAUAAAUUCCAUAGAUUAUUAGGAGUUUCCCGACCUCCCGCAGAUAAACUGGCGCCAUAUAGCUCGUUGAGAUCACAGGCUGGAGCUGCUGGCCCAAGGUGCGCCAAUCGAGGCUGUAGGCACACCUACUUCGGCAGAUUACAUGUUGUGGUUCCUCUCCAUCACACGUCGAUGGAUGACACCACAAGGUAUCAUCGCGGCAGCCUAGUACGCUCCCGUAGCACAGACGAUGACACACUUUGCACAGGGCAUUGCAUCUGUCAUCAGCUCCACCCAAGAGGAGCCUGUAAGCCAUACUCCUAGGGACAUAGUUUCAGCACUUCAUUCCAGAAGUCGCUGUGCCUGACACCACUAUGAACGAGUAGGGGUCAUCUCCUCAUCAUGCCGACGUUCAUCUUGAGGAGGUAGACUUAACGUGCCCCGACUAUGGUGUCGGGUCCUCACAGGGUGCUGGAUCAUCACAGUAUCAAUCACCUCCCCUACUUAAGCUUCAUGCGACGGCCUCUUACUAUCGUAGGAGGCAUUGUAAACCGUCACAGUUAGACAGGGUACAGGAGGAGGAUUAG